rnacentral:tRNA from 4 species
GUCCCCUUCGUCUAGUGGUUAGGACAUCGCCCUUUCACGGCGGUAACAGGGGUUCGAGUCCCCUAGGGGACGCCA